UCAAUAAAUUUUAUGAGGAGAGAGAAUAUAUAGAGUAUGUGUUCCUGAUCCUGUUUGGCACUCACUUACAGGCCAAAAAUCCAGACACAGAGAUACAGUAGCUAGAGAAAUGGAAGAGUGGAGCGAGCAUCCUAAACUAUCAUUGAGUGAAGGGAAAAGAGUAAAUAAUUAAAUAAAUAAAAAACAUUAGCCUUGUCUCAGCACAAACGUGAAAGAGCAUGAAAUGUGAUUUCAAUUACUACAACCAUGUCAGCGGCACUCUCCCGAGAGAUUAUUCAUAUGACGAAACUGCCAUCGCUCCCCACAACGUCAAUCCCUAACUAACUACCAACACCCGUUUCGUUUCGAAGACCUGCAACCACUAUGGUCGGCGGCGGUGGGAACCGACCGGAGGCGGAGCGGUGGCUCUACACCGCCAACAAGCUCCUGAGCGCGCGUGACCUGCACGGCGCGCGCUCCUUCGCGAUCCGCGCGCGUGAGUCGGACCCGACCUACGAGGCCUCGGAGCACCUCCUGACGGUGAUCGACACGCUCCUCGCCGGCGAGUCGCGGAUCAACGACCACCACCGCGAUUGGUACGGGAUCCUCCAAAUCCUCCGCUACACCACCAACAUGGACCACAUCGCCGCCCAGUAUCGCCGCCUCGCGCUCCUCCUUGACCCUCACCGCAACAUGUUCGCCUUCGCCAGCCACGCCUUUUCCCUCGUCAACGAUGCCUGGUCCGUGCUCUCCAUUCCCGCCAAGAAAGCCAUGUACGACAGCGAGCUCCGCUUGCUCACCGCUCCGGCGCCGCAACAUUAUUCUCUUCCCCCGCAGCCUCAACCCACGCCGAGGCGGAACCCUAGAUCCAGGGAUAAUUCGGCCAAGUUAAAUCCUAAUCCCACCCCGAACCGUGCCGAGUCGACUCGGACCGUGGAAACUGACACGGGAACGAGUUUCUGGACCUCGUGUCCUUAUUGUUAUGUUCUGUAUGAAUAUCCGAAGGUUUAUGAAGAGUGUACCUUACGGUGCCAGAGUUGUCGGAGGGGGUUUCAUGCGGUGGUGAUACGGUCGCCGCCACCGUUGAGUGGGAAAGACGGUUCUUAUUGUAGUUGGGGGUUUUUCCCAUUAGGGUUUUCUGGGAAUUCAAAGGAUGUGAAUGGGCAUGCCUCGAAUUGGAACCCGUUUUCGCCUUUGUUUCCUUGUCCCUUGAAGGGGUCGUCCUAUAGGAGGCCUCAGAGGAAUUGGGCUUACUAUGACGACGAGGCUGCGGCGGCGUUUAUCGAGUUGUCGGACCCAAGCGACGACGAUUCCGGUGACGGGGACUGGAGGGGUGGGAAGAAUAGGGGGAGGAAGAGGACUAGAGGGAAGAAAAAUUCUGGUGAUGGUAGGAGGGAAACUGUGAAGAGACCUAGGAGGGGUGCUCCUGUAGGAAAUGAGAAUUUGGGUUCUGGUGAUGCUGCUACUGGUGCUAGUGCAGAUGCUAAUGUUGCCUCUGCUGUGCCGGCUGGUGCGAGGGGGGAGUCUAGUAAGAAGGCUGCGUUGGGUGGUUCGAGGAGGCGGGGUGCUGGGAACUUGGGGAAGUUGGAUUUGAAUGUGGAGUUCAGCAAUGAGGUGGAGGAGCCUUCCCGUGGAGUGCGCGACCGCGAAGGGAAUGCUGCUGGACAUGCUGAGGAUAAUAUUGAAGGGAUUGGUUUUUUUGAAGGCCUUGACGAGUUCCUCAGUAGCUUGCCCAUUCUCAAUGUUGUGGCAGAUGAUAAGAUUGUGGUUGUAUAAUUGAGGAAGGAAUAUAUAUUGCCGAUGGAUGUUUUGAUCAUGUCUCACAAGCUGAUUAAUAAAGCAUGGGAGAGCUUGCUUUGGACUUUCGGUUAGUCCUUAAACUCCAGACUGUAUGUAUGACAAUCCAGAUGCAUAAACAUAGGUAGACGAUCCUCCUCUACUCUGCAUCUAUUGCCUUUAGAAGUAUUCUGCACUGCAAAACUUCUACUGGUGGUUCUGGAUCUUGAUAAAGCAUCUUGCCAGGUGCUAAUAGACAUUCUAUUUAGAGUUCUUUUAUUUAUCUGAAUUGUAAAUCUGAUCAGCAUAAGUUACACUUUCUUUCACCAUUUCAGACAUAAGGAGUUCUCUACAAUAUAAAUAGUCAUGAACAGGAUAAGAGGGGAAGCUUAAUGAAUUUUGAAAGAAUGGUUUUCCUUUAUUUGCUUGUUUUAUUGAUUUGUCUACAUUUUCCCUGUAGUUGGGAUGUGAUAACUAUAUUUGCUCAGAAGGCUCGUUUAUUUUUUCCUCAAAUGUAUUCUACUAUUAGAAUUUUUGCAUUUUCAGAAUUUCGGUUCUGUAUGCGGCGAUUUCUAGUUCUAAAUUUAAUAAGUCCAAGCAAAGUAUAUAUAAUUGGAUAGCAGAAACGUAGGGUGUGUUUGCAUAGGAAUUGCGUCCAACGCAACCUGCUUUCAGGCCAAAGCUUCCACACACCCUUCGUUUCUAGAAUAGUGGACUUAUUUUAAUAUGUCGAGAUAUAUAGCAUAUGUUUUUACAA